CAGCAGCCGCGGUAAUACAGAGGGUGCGAGCGUUAAUCGGAUUUACUGGGCGUAAAGCGUGCGUAGGCGGCUUCUUAAGUCGGAUGUGAAAUCCCUGAGCUUAACUUGGGAAUUGCAUUCGAUACUGGUUAGCUAGAGUGUGGGAGAGGAUGGUAGAAUUCCAGGUGUAGCGGUGAAAUGCGUAGAGAUCUGGAGGAAUACCGAUGGCGAAGGCAGCCAUCUGGCCUAACACUGACGCUGAGGUACGAAAGCAUGGUGAGCAAACAGGAUUAGAUACCCCAGUAGUCCCUGUCUCUUAUAC
rnacentral:rRNA from 1 species